GUUGCCAUGGCGGCAUCUGCCGCAGCGACCGGAGGCCGGCAGCUGCUGCUGGUUCUGAGCGCCCUAGGACUCUUGGCCUCAGGGGCUCCACAGCCCCCCAACAUCGUGCUGAUGCUCAUGGACGAUAUGGGCUGGGGUGACCUGGGUGUGUAUGGAGAGCCUUCCAGAGAGACCCCAAAUUUGGACCGGAUGGCUGCAGAAGGGAUGCUUUUCCCAAACUUCUAUUCUGCCAACCCUCUGUGCUCACCAUCCAGGGCAGCCCUGCUCACAGGACGGCUGCCCAUCCGCAAUGGCUUCUACACAUCCAACGCGCAUGCAAGGAAUGCUUACACACCUCAGGAGAUCAUGGGUGGCAUCCCUAACUCAGAGCACCUCCUGCCUGAGCUCCUGAAGAAGGCAGGCUACACCAACAAGAUUGUGGGCAAGUGGCAUCUAGGUCACAGACCCCAGUUCCACCCCCUGAAACAUGGAUUUGAUGAGUGGUUUGGAUCCCCCAACUGUCACUUUGGACCUUACGACAACAAGGUCAAGCCCAACAUCCCUGUGUACAGGGACUGGGAGAUGGUCGGCAGAUUUUAUGAAGAAUUCCCAAUUAACCUGAAGACCGGGGAAGCUAACCUCACCCAGCUCUACUUACAGGAAGCUCUGGACUUCAUCAGGACACAGCAUGCGAGGCAGAGCCCCUUCUUCCUCUACUGGGCCAUCGACGCCACUCAUGCACCAGUUUAUGCCUCAAGACCUUUCUUGGGUACCAGCCUUCGAGGGCGGUAUGGUGAUGCUGUUCGGGAAAUAGAUGACAGUGUUGGGAAAAUCCUGAGCCUUCUGCAGAACUUGGGCAUCAGUAAGAACACAUUUGUCUUCUUCACAUCUGAUAACGGGGCAGCCCUCGUUUCUGCUCCCAAACAAGGUGGCAGCAAUGGUCCCUUCCUGUGUGGGAAGCAGACUACAUUUGAAGGUGGCAUGAGGGAACCUGCGAUCGCUUGGUGGCCAGGGCACAUUGCUGCAGGCCAGGUCAGCCACCAGCUGGGAAGCAUCAUGGACCUCUUUACCACCAGCCUGUCCCUUGCAGGCCUGAAGCCACCCAGUGACAGGGUAAUCGACGGACUUGACCUACUCCCCAACAUGCUUCAGGGCCACACCAUGGACAGGCCCAUAUUUUAUUACCGUGGCAACACACUGAUGGCAGUCACUCUUGGCCAGUACAAGGCCCACUUCUGGACUUGGACCAACUCCUGGGAGGAGUUCAGACAGGUACAGGCCCCUGAGUACAAGCCCUGGGAGGGGCACCACUGGAAGAUCCCUGGAGAACUGAUCUGUCCACUUCUAAGCUACCAUCAGGGGAGGGCAUUGACUUCUGUCCCGGUCAGAAUGUCUCAGGAGUCACAACCCAUACCCAGGAAGAACACACGGAGCUACCCCUGAUCUUCCACCUGGGACGUGACCCAGGGGAGAGAUUCCCACUCAGGUGAGGCAGGGGCAGGGUGUCCAUGCUCCAGAGGAGACAUUGGCCAGACAGGCCAAAGGUGAGAACCACGUCUGGGUGUUCUGUCUUCCAUGGAGUUACUCCUCUGGUCUCAGAAGGAAUGUAUGCCUUUGUGAGGGUGUGAACCACACAGAGGGCUGGAACCAGAACCCACAGCACUCAUCUAGGGCCGAUGUUGAACCUAUCAAUUCCCAGAAACCUACAUCUCCACUUUGGAUCGUGGCUGCCUUGCUCUCUGGGAGCCCUCUUCUUGUAUUCCUUUCCUGGUUGCUUCUCAUCUCUGCCCCUUCUAGGUUCUGUCCACUUACACCCCCCAGCAAUGGGUCCUAUUCUCUGAGCUACCUUCAGGGAUGGCCAAGGGAUCCAGGCUUAGGAUACAUCUGUCCGCACUGCCUAGUCCUCUUCCUAGAAGGCUGCUGUGCUGGGAGUGGCCCUACUGUCAUCAAGGGAGCAGCCAAACCUAGCGCAAGGUUGGAGUACAGCCUAAGUCUCUGAAGGCCUUCAGUUCCCUUGGGAUCACAGUGGUGGUUGGGGUACUUGCAGGGUAGGGACCAGGGGGUCAUCUUCUUACCAGUCAUCCUGAGACAUGAGGAAAUCUGAGGACUUAGUUCACAUGCAGAAUUCUCUCUGCCCAUGUCUUGUUAGAUCCUGAGUUGCAGAUAACUGAGAUUCGUCUGCAGCCUGAGCUUGGCACCCUGCAUGUACCCAGCCCCAGGCUCUGCUCAUUGUGGGCAUAUCAGCGGUGUGUGUUGUGCUGAGCCAUGCACCACACAGUGAGUGUGCUGUGGUUUGCUUCACACUCAGCUAAAGGCUCCCUGACAGUCCAGCAGAUGCUAUGGUACAGGGGGAUGGAUGGACCUUGUUGGAAUGGUCAGGUGAAGGGGGGUUGUACAGAAUGGGGCAGGAGAGGACACAGAUGGCUAGAUAGCUCAGUGGAGAGUGCUUGCCUAGUGCUCCAUCCCUAGCACCUCCAGAAAAGAAAAAUAUAUUUCAUUGGUCUUGUCUGGGAGGGAAAUUUAGCAUUAAAUUUUUAUUUAUUUGAGACAGGGUCUUACUAUGUAGCCCUGGCCUGGAAUUCACUAUACAAGGCUGGCCUCAAACUCACAUUGAUCAGCCUGCCUCUGCCUCCUGAGUGUUGGCUUUAAAGGUGUGAGCCACCAUGCUCCCCUUGGCAUUAACCUUUAAGGAACCACCGGUCAUGUCCCAGGGCUGAGGCCUUGGUUCCUCAUGGCCUCCCCAUGCUGCCCAGGGACAGACUUGUUCCAUGGGAUGUAGCAGCUCAUGGGUUUUCAUUUAUAGUUCCCUGAGGACACAUUGUGUGGGCAACAGUAAACAUGAUGUAAAAUGACAAAAAGACUUGGUCCCCAUUGACAUCCUUGCAGCUUCAUUUUAGUACCACAGUUGGUGACAGUCCAGAGGUUGGUUAUGUGCCAUCUGCAUGGUGCAUCCAUUAACUUGUCUUCUUAGUGAAAAAUGAAUCAAAUUCUGAAGGUGCCUAUGCUGGAACUUCAGGGCUGUGUGUGCUGUUUUCCUUCCAUCUGCACCUGACCCCUUCUCAGCAUAAGACAGGACUUUCUAAGGAAACAGCACGUGUCGUAUGUGUACGUGUUUCAGAACAGUGCCAACUGCUGUGGCGGUUCCCGUGGAGAGGCCCCAGUCUGCAGGGCCCAGUCUCCAACCCACACACAGGUCGUGUUGGCAGUGACAGAGGAGGGCUCCCUGCCAUAGCUCAGCUUCCUAGGCCCUCAUUUCCUUCCCCUGGCAGAGUCUGACCACAGGAGAGCAGCUCACAGUACAGACAGCUGUCCAGGGAGGCUCAAGGGUCACCAUGUGGGAGCCCACAGCCCACUCUGACUUCAGACUGCCACCCUUGCUCUUCCCACCUCUAGAGACAACUCAAGGUCUCAGGCUUUCCAGGCUAGACCACUUCAUGUCCUAGAAUGUCUGUGAACCUCCUAAGCUGCCUGCCAGGAGAUGAUUGGCCUUGGACACAAGAGCAUUGUAACCAGAGCCUUCUUCUCUCCAGCUUUGCCAGUGAUGAAUACCAGGAUGUCCUCAGCAGGAUGACCCAGGUUGUCCAGCGGCACCAGAAGUCCUUGGUCCCUGGACAGCCCCAGCUCAAUGUGUGUAGCCAGGCUGUCAUGAAUUGGGCACCCCCAGGCUGUGAAAAGCUAGG